CAAAUAUUCCCCAGAAGCCUAAUAUGUGCUCCAUGCUACCACACACAAGGGCAAAUGGAUAGAUGAAGAGGACACCCUUAUUAUCUAAGAGUGUGGGAACUGGACUGGAGCCAAAAAUCCCAACAGCUCAAACUCAGGGCUGGGUCAGAAUCAGGCGGAGAACCCGGAGUGGUGACAGUGAUGGCAGCAGAGCCAGGGUGAGACUGAGAGUGCUCAGACUAAUUUUCUUGGAAGUAGUGGAAAGCUCCGCUAAAAAAGAAACAUGGGUUUGGAUUGAGCAGAAUGUCAAGAGCCCUGAGAACCAACCAAAAAAUGGCAGAUGAGCUGUUUCAGGGGCAACAUUUAGGAAAGUGAAAUCUCUGCUUUGCUUACAAUGACGGGACUGAAAAUGGCAAUUCUGCACAGGAAAGGGACUGUGGGACUCUUCCAAGACAUUUAGGACAUCCAAGUUUCUUUGAAGGUUGGCACAUCAGUCUUUAUUCUUCCACAGAGGAAACUAAGGCUCGGAUUAAGGGCUUUGCACCAGAUCUGGUAAGUGAGCCAGCUCUGCCCAACACCAGAGUUCAUUCUGGAACCGUAGCCAAAUCCAAAGCUCAUACCACUCGUCUCACAACAGCCAAUAAGACAAGACAUACUCAACUAUUCUUUCCAAAUAAAGGAAAGUGACUUUAUUUCAGGAAGCCAGCAAACUGAGAAGAUGGCAGACUGGUGUCCUAAAGGACCAUCUUCAAAGGUUCAUUGUCUGGAACCCCUGUAACAAAAGACAGAUUAAGAAGAAGAAAGCAUACUAAUUUAUUUAAUGUAAGUUAUACAUGAAAAAAAAUGAAGACCUGAAGAAGUAAUUAAACCUGGGUGGGGUUUUGCUGCUGUUUGUGGUGGUGGUGGUGAUGGUGUUUUCGAGGCAGGGUCUCGCUGUAUCGCCCAGCCUGGUCUCUCACAGGAGGGUCUUAGGCCUGCUUCAGGGGAAGGUCAGAAAAGUCUUCCUAGGUUUUAGGACCUGCUGCAGAGGGGAAAGAAGAGGAAUGGCCAGGGGAGGUCAGAGAAACCUUCCUGAACAUGCUGUUUCUCAAAUUCCUUCUGCUUAAACUGUUCGCUAUGCUAAGGUGCCAGAUUUGGGAGUAGCGUGUCCUGAAGACCAUCAACUUUGCAGGUGGUUUGAUGUGGUUACAAGUGCUUAAAAAUGCCCUCUGUUGCCUCAUCUUUGAAAUGGGAUAACAGUGAUACUAAUAGCUCCUGUCCAACAGAGGCAUUCAGUGCCUGGCAUGUCAUUAGUAUUAUAUAUACAUAACAAAUAAUAUCCUGUCUGUUUCUUUGAGGAGUUUCAGACACACUAUCAAGAAAGCCUGCUGUGUUGAAGUGUAAGAGUGCAGCCCCGCUUACAGCGCUUCUUGGUUAGAAAGGCCCAGGCUAGGCUGGGCAUGGUAGCUCAUGCCUGUAAUCCUGGCACUUUGGGAGGCCGAGGCAGGUGGAUCACUUGA
rnacentral:lncRNA from 1 species